rnacentral:rRNA from 1 species
CAAUAGCGUAUAUUAAAGUUGUUGCAGUUAAAAAGCUCGUAGUUGGAUUUGUGGCGUAUGGUGUGUUCCGGGCACUUGUUGUCUGAGUAACUUGCCAUUGCCAUCCUUGGGUGGAACCUGUGUGGCAUUAGGUUGUCGUGCAGGGGAUGCCCAUCGUUUACUGUGAAAAAAUUAGAGUGUUCAAGGCAGGCUUAUGCCGUUGAAUAUAUUAGCAUGGAAUAAUAAGAUAGGACUUUUUUGCUAUUUUGUUGGUUUGCGCGAGAAGGUAAUGAUUAAUAGGGAUAGUUGGGGGUAUUCGUAUUCCAUUGUCAGAGGUGAAAUUCUUGGAUUUUUGGAAGACGAACUACUGCGAAAGCAUUUACCAAGGAUGUUUNCAUUAA